GUAGGUGCAAGCGUUGUCCGGAAUUAUUGGGGCGUAAAGCGCGCGCAGGCGGUUCUUUAAGUCUGAUGUGAAAGCCCACGGGCUCAACCGUGGAGGGUCAUUGGAAACUGGAGAACUUGAGUACAGAAGAGGAAAGCGGAAUUCCACGUGUAGCGGUGAAAUGCGUGGAGAUGUGGAGGAACACCAGUGGCGAAGGCGGCUUUCUGGUCUGUAACUGACGCUGAGGCGCGAAAGCGUGGGGAGCAGACAGGAUUAGAUACCCUGGUAGUCCACGCCGUAAACGAUGAGUGCUAAGUGUUAGGGGGUUUCCGGCCCCUUAGUGCUGCAGCUAACGCAUUAAGCACUCCGCCUGGGGAGUACGGCCGCAAGGCUG
rnacentral:rRNA from 1 species